rnacentral:rRNA from 1 species
CCUACGGGAGGCAGCAGUCGAGAAUCAUUCACAAUGGGGGAAACCCUGAUGGUGCGACGCCGCGUGGGGGAAUGAAGGUCUUCGGAUUGUAAACCCCUGUCAUGUGGGAGCAAAUUAAAAAGAUAGUACCACAAGAGGAAGAGACGGCUAACUCUGUGCCAGCCGCCGCGGUAAUACAGAGGUCUCAAGCGUUGUUCGGAAUCACUGGGCGUAAAGCGUGCGUAGGCUGUUUCGUAAGUCGUGUGUGAAAGGCGAGGGCUCAACCCGCGGACGGCACAUGAUACUGCGAGACUAGAGUAAUGGAGGGGGAACCGGAAUUCUCGGUGUAGCAGUGAAAUGCGUAGAUAUCGAGAGGAACACUCGUGGCGAAGGCGGGUUCCUGGACAUUAACUGACGCUGAGGCACGAAGGCCAGGGGAGCGAAAGGGAUUAGAUACCCCAGUAGUC